UACGUAGGGUGCAAGCGUUGUCCGGAAUUAUUGGGCGUAAAGAGCGUGUAGGCGGCCCGAUUAGUCCGCUGUGAAAGUCCAGGGCUCAACCCUGGAAUGCCGGUGGAUACUGUCGGGCUAGAGUCCGGAAGGGGCGAGUGGAAUUCCUGGUGUAGCGGUGAAAUGCGCAGAUAUCAGGAGGAACACCGGUGGCGAAGGCGGCAUCCUGGACCAAUUCUGACACUGAGGAGCGAAAGCCAGGGGAGCAAACGGG
rnacentral:rRNA from 1 species